rnacentral:rRNA from 1 species
AUUGAACGCUGGCGGCAUGCCUUACACAUGCAAGUCGAACGGUAACAGGCCGCAAGGUGCUGACGAGUGGCGAACGGGUGAGUAAUGCAUCGGAACGUGCCCAGUCGUGGGGGAUAACGCAGCGAAAGCUGCGCUAAUACCGCAUACGAUCUAUGGAUGAAAGCGGGGGACCGUAGGGCCUCGCGCGAUUGGAGCGGCCGUUGUCAGAUUAGGUAGUUGGUGGGGUAAAGGCUCACCAAGCCAACGAUCUGUAGCUGGUCUGAGAGGACGACCAGCCACACUGGGACUGAGACACGGCCCAGACUCCUACGGGAGGCAGCAGUGGGGAAUUUUGGACAAUGGGCGCAAGCCUGAUCCAGCAAUGCCGCGUGCAGGAAGAAGGCCUUCGGGUUGUAAACUGCUUUUGUACGGAACGAAACGGUCCUGGUUAAUACCUGGGGCUAAUGACGGUACCGUAAGAAUAAGCACCGGCUAACUACGUGCCAGCCGCCGCCGUAACAC